GAUGAACGCUGGCGGCGUGCCUAAUACAUGCAAGUCGAGCGAAUGGAUUAAGAGAUUUGCUCUUAUGAAGUUAGCGGCGGACGGGUGAGUAACACGUGGGUAACCUGCCCAUAAGACUGGGAUAACUCCGGGAAACCGGGGCUAAUACCGGAUAACAUUUUGAACCGCAUGGUUCGAAAUUGAAAGGCGGCUUCGGCUGUCACUUAUGGAUGGACCCGCGUCGCAUUAGCUAGUUGGUGAGGUAACGGCUCACCAAGGCAACGAUGCGUAGCCGACCUGAGAGGGUGAUCGGCCACACUGGGACUGAGACACGGCCCAGACUCCUACGGGAGGCAGCAGUAGGGAAUCUUCCGCAAUGGACGAAAGUCUGACGGAGCAACGCCGCGUGAGUGAUGAAGGCUUUCGGGUCGUAAAACUCUGUUGUUAGGGAAGAACAAGUGCUAGUUGAAUAAGCUGGCACCUUGACGGUACCUAACCAGAAAGCCACGGCUAACUACGUGCCAGCAGCCGCGGUAAUACGUAGGUGGCAAGCGUUAUCCGGAAUGGGCGUAAAGCGCGCGCAGGUGGUUUCUUAUUCAGUCUGAUGUGAAAGCCCACGGCUCAACCGUGGAGGGUCAUUGGAAACUGGGAGACUUGAGUGCAGAAGAGGAAAGUGGAAUUCCAUGUGUAGCGGUGAAAUGCGUAGAGAUAUGGAGGAACACCAGUGGCGAAGGCGACUUUCUGGUCUGUAACUGACACUGAGGCGCGAAAGCGUGGGGAGCAAACAGGAUUAGAUACCCUGGUAGUCCACGCCGUAAACGAUGAGUGCUAAGUGUUAGAGGGUUUCCGCCCUUUAGUGCUGAAGUUAACGCAUUAAGCACUCCGCCUGGGGAGUACGGCCGCAAGGCUGAAACUCAAAGGAAUUGACGGGGGCCCGCACAAGCGGAGCAUGUGGUUUAAUUCGAAGCAACGCGAAGAACCUUACCAGGUCUUGACAUCCUCUGAAAACCCUAGAGAUAGGGCUUCUCCUUCGGGAGCAGAGUGACAGGUGGUGCAUGGUUGUCGUCAGCUCGUGUCGUGAGAUGCUGGGUUAAGUCCCGCAACGAGCGCAACCCUUGAUCUUAGUUGCCAUCAUUAAGUUGGGCACUCUAAGGUGACUGCCGGUGACAAACCGGAGGAAGGUGGGGAUGACGUCAAAUCAUCAUGCCCCUUAUGACCUGGGCUACACACGUGCUAAUGGACGGUACAAAGAGCUGCAAGACCGCGAGGUGGAGCUAAUCUCAUAAAACCGUUCUCAGUUCGGAUUGUAGGCUGCAACUCGCCUACAUGAAGCUGGAAUCGCUAGUAAUCAUGCCGCGGUGAAUACGUUCCCGGGCCUUGUACACACCGCCCGUCACACCACGAGAGUUUGUAACACCCGAAGUCGGUGGGGUAACCUUUUGUUUGGAGCCAGCCGCCUAAGGUGGGACAGAUGAUUGGGGUG
rnacentral:rRNA from 1 species